AACAGCUAGCGGGGCCUACGCUAUCUUCGGCUGCACCAGCUACAGGGGCCUGGCUAGCUAUGGGUGAAUGAAGGGGAGAAGGGUCUGGCUGCAGCCACUGGGGAGCGCCAUAUUGGGACCUCCACACUAACCGGAAACACGUGACCUCUACAGUAGCCGGAAACACGUGACCUCCACAGUAGGCGGAAAUACGUUCCUGCGUGCAUCAUCGAUUAUGGAAACCUUGCAAGUGGAUCGUAAAGAUGCAAAUAUCAAUUUGGAAUUCUGCCUCCAAACCAGAAUCGCAGGAAUGCACCACGUGUUGCAGAAGACUCUUUCAUUGCCCUCUGUGCCCCACUUUCAGCCCUACUGUCAGGGCAAAGAUUGAGGAGCAUAUAAAUGGACACAUUAAAAAUGCUUUGCCUUUCAAAGGUAUGUUGGUAUUAAAUAUACCUCAUAGUUAAAGUUAUAAAUAUGCACUUCUUUUCAGCACCUCUGCAGUCUCUUUGUUGACUUAAAAGUUGCUUUUCACAUUGUACAGUUCAGUGCAUUCAUCAGCAAGAGAAAAAGACAAAAUGAUAUACCGGUGCACCUUCACUGCCCUGUCUGUAACAUGACAGUCAUACAGCGUGGGGAUAUGGCAAGUCAAUUAUUGUCAUGUCAGCGUUUAGGACUGCUCCCCACUGAACUCUCCGUGGAGCCCCGCCUCUCUCCCGCUGCACUCUCCGUGGAGCCUUGUCUCCCUCCCUCUGCACUCUCAUCUCAUCUGCCUCAUCUCAUCUGCCACA